rnacentral:lncRNA from 1 species
GUUUGUCUCUGGGUUUUCGAUUUGCUGGCUCAGAAAACUUAUCAGCAUUUAACUGUUUGCAUAAAUUUGCCAAAGAUUUUAUGACUUAUUUGUCUGCACCUAAUGCUUCUGUUACAGGUCCUUAUAACCUAGAAACUUGUCUGAGCGUGGUGCUGCUGUCUCUCGCCAUGGUCAUGGCUGGCUCAGGAAACCUAAAGGUUUUGCAGCUUUGUCGCUUCUUACACAUGAAAACGGGUGGUGAAAUGAACUAUGGUUUUCACUUAGCCCACCACAUGGCCCUUGGACUUCUAUUUUUGGGAGGAGGAAGGUAAGUGAAUAUGUAUUUUUCCAAUGAAAAGAUCUCAUUGGUGAGAUCUAUAAGGGUGACUUACCUUGAUCUUGAAGAUAACAUGAAAAAUU